GUUGGCAAUGUCAGGUUAAGAAAAUAUGUGCGUGGCCAGGCGUGGUGGCUCACACCUGUAAUCCCAGCACUUUGGGAGGCUGAGGCAGGUGGAUCACUUGAGGCCAGGAGUUCGAGACCAGCCUGGCCAACAUGGUGCAACCCCGUCUCUACUAAAAACACAAAAAUUAGCCAAGCAUGGUGGCAGGCACCUGUAGUCCCAGCUACUGGGGAGGCUGAAGCAGGAGAAUCGCUUGAACCCGGGAGGUGGAGGUUGCAGUGAGCCGAGAUUGCACCACUGCACUCCAGCCUGGGUGACAGAGUGAGACUCUUGACACACACACACACACACACACACACACACAGAAGAAGAAAAUUGUGUGUGUUCGUGUGUGUGUGUGUGUGUAUCCAGAGAGUUAAAUAUACCAUUUUCCCAUUUUAGGGACGAAGAAACUGAGGUGAGGUCACCUGCCCGAGUGAUGCAGCUAGUUGGCAGCAGAGUGGGACCGGAACCCUGCUGCCAGCAAGGUAUUGUGGGGGCUGAGUGGGACUUCCUUCUGGACAACAGAGGGGAG
rnacentral:lncRNA from 10 species